CCCGCUGUAGCUCAACCUGGCAGAGCGUCUGACUGUAGAUCAGAAUGUUGCCAGUUCAAAUCUGGCCGGCGGGA
rnacentral:tRNA from 1 species